CGUGCAGAGGAACUUGUACAGUGGACAAACGCAAUUCUUAAAAACAAAUGUGUGUUUGUUUUUUUGUUUGUUUGUUUGUUUAACAAAUAGUUUUCUGUAUAGAGACGUUUAUGCAGCUUUUAUGGAAGGAGUCUCCAGUAUCAGCUGUCUGUAAAUGCCGGGAAGUUUUCCGACACGGGAAUUCUUCAGGGUGGAGGAGUUUGACGGUUUCUCGGAGAGUGCAGUUUUUAGCUCUGGUGGAGCACACCAGCAGACAUAGCGUGACAUCUGUGCGGUGUGUUUGGGGAGACACCCUGCUCUAGUGCUCACCUCCCCAAGGUCUGGAAGAUCUAUUGUUUGGAUUUCUCUCCCCACUUCCCGGACCAUCAUCCUCUAUCACUUUCUAGAGAGACAGAGACAGAGUCUGGAGCCAGCGGUGCUAUUGUGCGUCCUGGCUGGGGACCAAGGUCAGGCGUGCAACUGCCUGCCAACAGUCUUCGACGAACACAACACAACACACAUGAUGAACACUCACUCGGUCUUUUAGGCCCACGAUAAUAGAGUAUGUGAUGGACUUGCCUUAGUGGUCUGUAGGGCCAAUGUCAACGGACAAUGCGAAACCUGACACCUCUGAACUGAAGCGGCUCACUUUGUCUGCCAUUGUGCACGCUGCACAAACAAUGUACAAUAGGGUUCUGCCUUGCAAAUUUGCCUUAGGAUUGAAAAACAGAUGUGGCCCUAAGUCAACUGAUAUCAAUACUGAGGUAGUAGAUAUACUGUUAGAAUAGAAUUCCUGUUUUUGUCAGUUUUAUAUGUACUAAUGUACUCGAUUAGCCUGUCGUUUCCCAUUUGUCUCCCCAAUUUGGUCAUCAAGUCCCCCCCUCCUCAUCGUAUGACUGCCACCAGCUGUGGGCGGUGAAGUGCUUCCUCUGAGACAUGUCCUGCUGCGUAUUUUUUCAAGCUGUUUCAUCAAAGGGCAGUGUGAGGCACUUGGAGGAAAGCGCAUUCUGCCCUCUUACACGCAUAUAUGAGCUCGUGGACGGCCCGGGAUUGGCUAGUGAGGAUGGUGAUAGAGUAUGGCAUCCCUCCAGCCCUGAGAGCACAGCCAAUUUUGUUCUCUUGGCUCAAAUCCUAGCCGUGAAUGGCUGUGGCAUCAUCAGGAUUCGAUUCGACGAGAGGGCGAACGCUUUUCUGUUUUUUUUUUUCUGUCUACCAAACAAAAUUAAACCACCACGACCCUGAGCAGGCAGUUACUAAGGAUGAACGAAUGAAUGCCGUGAAUGAAUUCUUAUCCAAUGUGCUUCAUAUCUGACUGCAUGCCCACAUGAAAAUAAAAACCUGUAUCUGUAUUUGUUUAGAAAACAUUAUAUGCUCAGUCUGAUUAAUGCAUCAAUGGAUUCACCAUUACAUCCCGUGUGUGUUUCCUAAACCUGAACCAAACAGUAGAAUGCAUUAUUUAAUAAACAUGUUUUCUGGCCAACA